UGAGUAUGAUGUUGGGUGUGGGUUUGUCAUAUACGGCCUUUAUUAUUAGAAGUAUAUUUUUAAAUUUCCAAACAUAUGGGGACUUCCUAGUUAUAUUUUUGUUAUUGCAUUCUGGUCAGAAAACAUAUGCUAUGUGAUUGUUAUCCUUUGAAAUUUGUUGAGAUUUGCUUAUGGCCCAGUGUGUGUUUGUCCUUAGUGAAGUUUCCACGGGCACUUGGACAGAACAAGUGUUCUGUAGAUGCUGGAUGCAGUCAUCUAGAUAAGGCCAUUAGAUCAGAUUUUCUCUGCUCCUAAUGAAUUUUUAUCUGCUUAUUAUAUUAAUUGAGAUAAUUGUUAUUUCUAUUCAUAAUUCUAUGAAUUUUGCUUUAUAUAUUUGAGGUCAUCUUAUUAGGUGCAUACAAAUAUGGAAUUGUAUCUUCCUGCUGAAUUGAAACUUUAAGAACUAAACCUCUAUCUGUAGUAAUGCCUUUUGCUUACCUAAAGUCUGUUUUUUUCUGGUAUUAAUAAAUCAACUUCUUUUUGAUUACUGUUACAUGGUAUAUCUCUUUCCAUCCUUUCACUUUCAACUUUUCUGUAUCCUUGUUUUAGAUGUGAUUCUUGGAAAGAGCAUAUAGUUGUCAUUGUUGUUGUUUUAAUCUAGUCUGAUAAUUUAACAGGAACAUUAGGCCUUUAAUGUAUAAUUUCUGAUAUAUUUGGGUUGAAAUCUUAUUCACUACUUUCUAUUUAUCCACCCUGAUCUAAGUUCUGUUAUCUCUUUUCUUGCCUUCUUUCAGAAUAGGUUAGAAUUAUUCUGUUAGAAUUCUAUUAAUAUUUAUUCUGUUACUCAAGUUUUCCUUCUAUUGGUUUGGGAAGUUAUACACUUCUAUUCUUAUAAUGGCAAAGGAAUUAAAAGAUUCAGUGUUGACUUACCAAAGCCUAAUGUUAACUGGUACUUUUAUCUUCAUCCUAGACAAUGUAAGGAUCUUAGAAUAGUUUAUUUACUUCUCAUCUUAGAUGCUAUUGCUUUUGUGAAUUUUAAUUAUACAUAUACAUAUAUAAAGGUAUAUAGAUAUGUAUUGAAAUACAUUAUUAUUGUUUUCUACACCAAAUGUUUAUUUAGAUUUAUCCACAUAUUUAGUAUUUUAAUUACUUUCCAUUACUCUUCAUUCUGCUCUGCCUCUCCAGCUUUCCACGUGGGGUCAUUUUUCUUCUGUCUGAAAAACAUCCUUUAGAAUGUUCUGUCCUGUUAUAGGUAAAAUCUUCCAAUUUUUGUUUGCUGAAAAGUAGCUUUAUUCCACCUUCAUUCUUAAAAAGAUAUUUUUGCUGGGAAUAGAAUUGUAGGUUGAGCAUGAUAUUCUUUUUUCACAAUGGAAGCAUCAAUCCACCAAUUUCUGACUUCCACUCUGGCUGGCAAGCAGUCAGCUCUUCAUCUGUUUAAUGCAUUCUUUUGUUAAUGGCUUCUUUUAAGAUUGUUUUCUCUGCCUUUGGUUUAUUCCAGUUUUACUCUGGUAUGUUUAGGUGUGGUUUGUUUCUUUUUAAUAGUAUCCUGCUUGGGAUUCUUUGGCCUUUUAAAUUUGUGGAUUUUUAUCUUUCCAGCUUCUACAGGCUGCCCACAUCCCUUGGCUCAUGGCCUCCAUCCAUCUUCAAAGCCAGCAAUGGCUAGACCAGUCUUUAUCAAGCUGCAUCACCCUGCCAUUGACUGACUCUCCUGCCUCCCUCUUUCACUUAUAAGGACCCUUGUGAUUACUGGAGCCCACUGGGAUAAUCCAGAAUAACAUCCUCAUUUCAAGAUCUUAAGCAUCUACAAAGUCCCUUUUGCCAUGUAAGGUAACAUAUUCACAGGUUCUGGGGAUUAGGAUGUGGACAUCUUUGGGAUCCAUUACUCUGCCUAUCAGAGUGCUGAAGACCACUUAUCUGCCAAACUCCAUUCUCCUCUCCUGUGGGCACACAGCUAGACUGCAUUUUCCAGCCUUCUUUGCAACUGAGUGAGGACAUGUGGCUAAGUUCUCUUAGUGAGCAGAACUGUGAGUUCUUUCCCUCCCAGGUCUGUGAUAACCUCCUUUGCAUGCUCGGCGUGUUCUUUCCGCUUUCUUGGGACCUCAGAGAAUAGGGAGCCUGGGUGCUGGAAUGAGCACCAAGAAGGAAACCACCCACUGACUUGAACACCCAUCCUGGACAGCUAAGUGAGCAAGAAUUCAAUUUCUAUCGCAUAGAGACUAAACUGUAGAGCCACUGCAUUUUGGGUCUACUUGUUGUAGUAAUUAGUUAAUUCUAACUGAUACACUAACAAAAGAGAAGAUUUCUUCAUAGGGCCUUGAUUCCUAAUGCCCAUUUUUCAUAGGACCUAACCUACUUCCAUAAGAAGACUGAGGUCAUCUAAAACAGGCAGCCACAAUUUUUCACCUUUCCUCUUCAAACAUUUAUUGAGCAAGAGGUACAGGGCAGGUACACCUAAGACCUGGGAUACCUGCUUCUUGGGUCUCUUUGGGCAUACUUUCCUUUCUUUCUUGUUCCCUUUUCUAAACUAGGUCUCUUUCUUCAACUCUACUGCCCUCAACACCUUUUCCAACUUUCUCCUCUCCAGUGGCUCCUUAUCUUCCAUUUUCAAACAUACUGGCCUUGACCCGUGUUGAGUCAGCCUUCCCUUCAUUCUGCUCUACCAUCAAACUACUUCUUUAUCCCUCUGCCUCCUUCCACUAUCAGACUUCACUAAAGAGUACAUGACAGCUCGGACCUCACUUUUCUCCCCCCAACACCUCUUUUCCGCCAUUCAGUCAGGUUUCCACUUUCACUUAUCUAAUUGAUAUUUACUGAUCCCCUCCUUGGUGCUGGGGAUGAUGCAAGAGUGAGAGAAUCCCUACCUUAUGCUGCAUCUUCCCAGCGUAUAACACCGUUAAGCGGGUCACCACAAAGACAGAGAAUCAAUGUUGGUAGCUGUCCAGAGGUGGGAGGGAGCAGAGACUGAGUUGUCUGUGGGCUCAGGGAAAGACAAAAUGAAGAGGCAGUGUUGGAGCUGACAGCUGGGGGCUGAGGCUGAGUAGGCGUUAGCCAAGCAAAGGAGGAGGAGGAAGAAAGUUACAGGCAGACACACUGCUGGAGAAAGGCCGAACUUGGAAGGCACCAGCAAGUCCGCAUGGUAAGUAGGGUCAAGGACAUGUGUGAAAGAGAAGAAAAGUGCUCUGAGGACUGGGUAGGGGUUGGAGGUGGGCUGUGGAGAGGAGUUGUUAGGCAGCAAGGUGCUGAAGCCCCCAGGGCUGUCUGAGUUCCCACCUCAGAGGAGCUCAGGGCAUCCGGGCUGCCCUGCGUUCCAGCCAUUGCUCUGUGCAUGUCAGAAGUGAGACCCCAUCGUCCCACACCCUGCUCUGUAGCUCUAGGAAGCUGAGGGACCUGGGUUUUGACUAAAGGCCCAUUCUAACGUAUAAAAACACGAGGGAAACCUAGAAGAUGGGUGAUGGCAACUGCAGCUCCUCUUCUCCCGACUCACGUCUGAUCACCUCUCCCAGCCGGCCCAUCUCCCAUGUGCAGAGGAGAGGGCUGGGCAGUUCAGCCAGGAGCCUGAAGUUCCGGAUCAGUUUUGCUCUCCCACCAUCCUAAGGGCUGAGGUGUCCUGGUGCUGCCCCACAGAGAUCCCGGAUAUGGGAGUGGGGUGGGUUUAUAAAUACUGCAGGAAGAGCUCUUUGGCACUCUGCCCAAACCCUGCAUCAAGAGACUGAAAUGAACGCUAGCAUGGUUUCUGACAGCUCAAGGCCAUGUCCCUAGGAUGACUGCUCCAGCCCCCUUAAGUUCCUGCCUGGGACAACUCAAGGCUGCAAGAAGAAUUACUCUUUGUUCCAGCCAACCCUUAAAGAUAAGGUCCGUGUCUCCUAGUCUCUGUAGGAGUAUAGGAGCCUGUCAGCAAAUCCCUAUGUACAUUUCCCCUUUCCUGACUCUGCUGGCCCAUCCCUUAUUUCACCCUCUCUAUUUCCUCUUUCUCCCUUUAAAAUGCCCUUACCUCUACACAAAUUGAAGUUGAUUUCAGUUCACGCUGAACCCUCUUCCCUAUUGCAAUAAUCAUUGAAUAAAAUCUGUUCUUGCUGCUUUAACUAGUGUCCUGCUUUAUUUAUCUUUGACAGCUGGAAAGUAGUAUUCCACCCCCUCCUCCCCUAUCAAUUAGGAUGAUGAUCAGUGCUUUAAGUGAGACCCUAAAUGACUGUGGCUUAGACAAGAUGACGUCUAGAACAGCAGCCUAGGCUCACCAUGGUGGCUCUGCAAUCAUCAAGGAUCCACGCUCCCAUUAUCUUGUGACCCACCUCUCUCUUGGGCUGUUUCCUUCCUGUGGCCCAAGAAGGCUGCCCCAGAUCUGGACAUCUUGUCUGCAUUCCAGUCAGCAGAAACUUCUAGAAGUCGGAGGUAGCAGACUUUGCUUGAGUCACAUACCACUGACCAGUGACUGCACUCCUGAAGCAAGAUGGGAUUUUUCAACUUUGGGAUUCUUAUUUCCUCUCGAGAUUGAGAACUGUUUGGUAUGAGUGUGGAAGAGGAAUUGGGUGGGGAGAGGGUGGGACAGCAGAUGAGCUUGAUAUGUGAGGAGGAGGGUCCUGACAAUACCACUACCCUCUCCUCAGGCUCCCGAGUCAGAACAGCUGUGGCCACGGGGUUCAGGUGCAGCUCCGAGGUAUAAUGAGUGCUUUUGGCUAAGUCACUUCACUGAUUUGAGCUUUUGUUUCCACCUUGACAAGCUAAUCUUCCCUAAAACGUUCUUCAAACUUUUUUUAACGCAGAGAAACUUAUUUUUCAGACAGAAAUUUAGAGAGAACCCCAAAAUAGAUGAAAGUGGAACUUCUCAAGUAGAGAGUGGGAGAUUGAGGUGUUGCCCACUGGGUCUUACAGACUCUCUUGGGGGAUGGGAACCACCUCCAAAGAACUAGAUGCCACAGAAGGUACUAACCACUCCCAGACUUCCGGCCUCACCUUCUUCUAUUUAGCAAUCAGACCCCUCCCAGCAGAGUUUUGGCUGGGCACAUGCCUAGCUUCCCUUCAAGGCUGUGGCCAGUGGGAUGUGAGCAGAAAUAAAAGGGCAACUCUCAGGUGAUGUCCAUAAAAAGAAAGCUCUUGGCCCUCUGCUUCCACUGCCACCCCCUCCCACCCCCGGCUGGGAAAGGAGACAACUGGAGUGUCAUCUUGGACCCACAGGUGGAUACCAUGUAUCGAUGAUGGCAAAGCCAACAUGCCAGCCUUGGUGCCCCGGUGACCACAUGGAACAGUGGAAUUACUGCUAUGGACCACCCACCUGCCCACCAUCUGCACUGUUACCUGAAAGAGAAAUGGGGGCCUGUCUUGUUAAAGACAGUGAGUUUGGGGUCUUUUCAUGUAGUGGUUUAGCCAGUUGACUAACUAGAAAACCAAGGCUCAGAAGAGCACAGUUUGCUAACCUCUACCUUACUGUCUCCAGCCUUCAGCAGCACUCAGUUUAUAGAAGACCAUUUCGCUCAUUAUAACACGUCUCCCUGUGGCUUUGGCCCCCUUUUAAAGCUUCUUCAGCUCCACCCAAUAAAGAGAUCUGCAGCUCUGCUGGAUGAGAGGAUCAGAAAAGUUGGAUCCAAUGAGUCAUAAAUGUAGAUGCUAAUUUAUAAACUGAGUAGGAACAUAAAGCAAGUUAGUAGAAAAUCUGAUUUCUGUUGCCUUUUCUCCUUGCAUCAUUUCCUGCCAUCUCCCACCUUUUCUUUAUUCUUAGCACUCCUCCUCACUCCUCUUUCCCUUUGGAUUUUCUCUGGACUGUCUAAAUAAGUUGUUCAAAUGUGUGACAUUCCAUGGCUCAUCAAUGACGGCUCAUGGAAAAGUAGGGUGCACACAUCUAGGACAUGCUGAAUGCUGACAACUCAAGCACCAGGAGAUAGCAAAACCGCGUGAGAGGUAAACACUGGCAGGGAGCUUUCUUCCUAUUGAGAUGCUGCUAAACCAGUCAGGUGAAGGCAUGCAUAGACCAGAAAGACUGACCUCUCCUGAGUAAGGAGGAAUUCUGCCAGCACUCAGCCUUUGGACUUGACCUGAGGCAUCAGUGCUCUCCUGGCACACCCUUCAGAUUUUGGACUUGCCAGGCUCUAUAAUUACAUGAGCCAGCUCCUUAAAAUAAAUCUCUCUCUUUCUCUCUCCCUCUCUCUCUCUCGCUAUAUAUAUACACAUCCUAUUGGUCUGUUUCUCUGGAGCACCCCAACGAAUACAAAGGAGGAGAGAGAAUUAUAAACUGGAGGGAAGAGAACAAUGUUUUCAGAGGUGAACGGUGGUAGAUUGCAACCAAGAAGAGCCAGACAGAAAGUGAAAGCCUCCCUGGGAGGAUUUCCAGAGAGCUUCACUAAAACUUUCCCCGGUGGCUGCUCACGUCUGCUACAUCCUGCAGUGUUCACACUUCACGCCACUCUCUCAAGAGUCUGCUGGGGGUGGGGUGGACAUGGAGAGGAGCAGACUAAGGCAACUGUACCACGAUGAAUUCCAAUACAUGUCCAAGAAGGAUCAGUGCUGACAGCUACUGAGGGUUCAGGGAAGGGGUGCAUGUGCGCUGGUAGUAGAAGACUUCUAAAGACUUGGGUGGGUGGAGAAGGAAGAGGUGGUAUCCCAGGCUGAGGGAGGCAAGACGAAUCUGGAGUCUUCAGGUCUCUCAGACCAACCAUCUCUUCCCUGGAACAAAGUGCAUAUGGUAUUCCAGGUAUUGACAAAGCCCAGAAAAAAGGUAAACCAAAAUGUUUUCUUGGAAUAUUCUCCUCACUUUGGGCUGCGGCUGAGUAAGCUGCUCCACUUCAUACAUCACACCCACUUCCUACACUGCACCCGAUUAUUUUCACCCACUCAAGAAGGCACUGUCAGAACGCAGCAAGCAAGCUUGAUGCCCCCAGACAUGACCUCAGAUGGAUCUGAUCAAUUAGAAGGUCAGUCCUCUGAAAAGGGCAGCGCAUUAACAGUCACUGAUCGGUGUUUGACCCAACACAGAGGAGACUGCCACACAGCAGUGAGACCACUCGGAGUGGAGGCACGGGAAGAAGUAGAUUAUUAACUCCCAGAAACUGGUGGCCGCUUUUUAAGAAACAUUUGCCUUGAACAGUUUCCAGACAAUACCUAAUGAGUGCUUGCUGGCAGUGCUGGACCGCCUUUAACUUAAAUUCUCCCAUGGUUCUGAGGGCCAGGCUGGGAGCGGCAUGUGUGGACCACACUUUGUCCAAAAGUGAGGUGAAAAACAGUCACACACCUAGCAGAAGAUCAGAGAUGGUACUUUGAAAGAUUAAUAAUGUAUUUCCUUUUUUAUGAUUAAUAAAGAUUAUCACUGACAA